rnacentral:lncRNA from 1 species
CUUUAAGAGAUGUACAUAACAGCACAAAAAAAAAAAAAAUAACAGAAAAUGGGGAAGUGAAAGCAAAGCCAAAUAAAAUGAAGCCAGGGAUUGGUCCACAAAUUGCAAAACAAAAGGGCCUGUUCAGGUUUUAGAAUUGGACAUUAAAUCCCUGAGGCUCCUGAUGGACAAAAUUUAAUCCAUUUUAAUUUCACAGUCCCUAAGAGGGAAUUAAAAUCAAUUACAAAUGUCUCAUUUCCAUAAAUUAGUUGGUCGAGAAAGGUCCCUGGAGAUGACACCUGUGCUUCUCCAGGACACACCAACCGGGUUUAGCGUGAGCUCCUGCCCCUACUACUGAUGCUGGCGCUCCAGCCUAGCUGGCCUUACCUCUCCAUCUAUUUCUGGGAAACUUCAGGAACAGGGUUGGGUUGGCGACCUCAUACGUGGUCAUGAACAAGCCCUUUCCUCUCAAGUGCUGUCCACAGAGGGAUUCUCUCCUGCCUUGCCCCCUGGGUGAAGUCUGCAGUGGAGGGUUUCAAAGUGUCUCACCACCACUUCCUGCUGGUCCCCAGUGCCUAUAAAUAUGCGGAAGCUUCUCUGUGGUCCACGAAUCCCCCCAAAGCACUGAAGCCAAGUGUGUUCUAUGUGGAAGGAGAAGACUCCUUUCUCCUUUGUGCCACAUUUGUCACCUGCCACCAAGUUAGGGCUCCCUGAGCCCCAGUGACUCGAGAUUCUAGUAGUCACAACUCUGCCAGCCUGGGCCUGUGGCUCCUCUCCUGCUUGGGCUCAGAUACAUCUGUCAUGCUGCUCCAGGACCAGCUUAGAGACUGAUUCUUGUUUUCCUGAUCCCCCUUCCCGUGGCCCUCGCCCUCUAGGGGGCACAAUUUUUAUGGGAUAUUUUUCUACAAUGAAAAUGUAAAAAAAAAAAAAAAAGUGACUUUAGAAAUAAGUAUCAUGUAAUAGCAGGCAUGAUCAGAAGCAUCUUUACACACAAAAAGAAUCACCAACAGCGCCCUCAUUAGAAAAUCAAUGUCUAUGUGACUCCCUAGUCGACUAUAGCAUGUUUAGGUAAAAUUAUCUAAUUGUAUUCUUCUUUUUACUCUUCUAAUGCUCUUGACUUAACCAAGUGGCUCUUAAAACAAAGAAGCUCUCAGCUUUGAGAAGUGGGGGAACCAAACACACACUGAAAAGAACUGGGACCUCUCAAACUCUCUGUCUCUUCCUCCAAGCAGCAUAAAAUGGGGUUACUGGGGUGCAGGCUCCUGUAGGGUUCCUAACAGAGACUAGGUGAGAGAUGCGGCACACGGAGGUGAGGAGAAAGGUCACCCACUCAGCUGCAGCAUGGGGUGGGGGAAGCAACAAUAAGGUAAGGAAGGAACCUGCCUUUGCCCCCCGAAAACAUGCAUUUAUUUGGAGGUAAGUGCAGGCUUGCUGAAAGUCAGAGGGAGGGCAAAAUGAUGCUAAAGACAUGCUAGCAGUAAUAGUGAUGCUGGGAGUGUGAAGAAACAGCCAGGAGCUGUGGGGGAAAAGGAUCCAGUGUCUACCAUCCCAGGCCUCCAGGCCCAUUUCAACUCCCUCCUCUCCUGUAAAGCCUUCCCUGCACUCCCACUGCAUGGAACACUAACCCCUUGUAGCAGAUUGGGGCAGGGGCUUGAGAUUGGUGUUUGCUAUUAACAGGUGGGGGAGCUGAGCAAUGCCCAAAUGGAGGAUGGGAUCAAAACUGAGGUUAAGGGGAGCUUUGGGAGGCUGAGGUGGGAGGAUCGCUUGAGGCCAGGAGUUCAAGACCAGCCUGGGCAACACAAGACCCCCAUCUCCCCCCCAAAAAAAAUGGGGUAAGGGAAUAUUUUGAAUGAUUAAUUUUGACUUUAGAUAUUGACUUCAUUCAGAAAGAGACCUCUCAGGCAGCUGGGUAACUCCAGCCCAACUGGAAAUGCUCUUAGAAGGGAGAAAGUAUUGGCAGAACUGAGUCCAAGAUGAGUCCAAUGGGCAGGUCUCUCCAGGCACGUGCAGGGGAGGCUUGGAUGGGAGUCACUGAGUGUGUACAUCAAUGCACGUGCUGAAUGGGCAGGCCAAGAGCCCCAUGAUGGGUGAUGGUAGACACCGGGGCUUUGAGAUGCCCAGGAGUCACCCAAGCACAGCUGGUUGGCAGGCAGCUGGGAUCCUAAGAGGAGAGGCCACAGCAGGACACAGAUCUGGAAGUCAUUAGCAUCUACACAGAAGAAAAGAGAGAAAGAAAGGAAAAGAAAAAAAGAAGAGAAAGGGAAACAGAGUGAAUGAAGAAGCAAGCCUAGGACAGAACUCUGGAGUACAAAGACCCAGAACAGCCUGGGUGAGGCAAGUUCACCUGCAACACCCACACCCACUCCAGACAUCACUGCCUUCAUUACUUCAAAACUGCACCCCUGUCCCCAAAGGGUGUUACUCCCCUACAGAAAGUGACUCAAUUCUUUUCUGCAGCCCGAAAGCAGAGAGCUAUCCCCACUGGGGGCCCCAGAACAAGAUGAGGCAGGACGGACUACCCAGAGCGCCUGACUACAUUAUUUAGCAUGGAGGGACCCUAGCUGCUUUACUCGGCUUCUGGGAGGAGGCUACAGUGGACAAUAAGGCCAAGGCAGCCAUGACCAUGAGUUCAGCUGCUGAGGUCAAGGCCUUAGAAAAAACCGAGUAUCUGAAAAAGUCUUGGCCCCUCCUUUCCCUGCCCCUACCUUUGGGUCUGCUGCCUCUGGGGGUCUGAGGAAUGGGAGGCCUAAGGUCCUUUAGGUACCUUUUUGUCCCUUCAGAGGAGCCAAUGCCCUUCUUGAGGUGGAGGGUGAAGAAAUCAAGGGGAGGCAGCCAUCUGGGGAGACGAUCCUGCCUUUAGCAGCUCACAUGAUGUAACACCCUCCCAGGGCAGCAUUUGCUGGUUUGGUUUUCCAUAACCAGGGUCUGACCUGUGGCCAGGAAGGCUGAGAAACUGUCCACCCAUUCUGCAGAGUGAAUCUACUUCCCAAGAGCAGAAUCACGCUAGCAAAGCUCAGGGUGUGUAAAACCAGAUGUCAGUUUAUCUGAGCAGCACAGACCUACUGGAGGGCGCCUGGGUGCCCAGCAAGCUCUUGGGUAGACAGCAAGCCUGGAACACUGAAGCCCCCUGAAAGAGUGCUUCUUCCAAAGGAAGUCAGGUAGACAAGGAGGAAGGGACCACCUGGGCCAUUUUCUCACCUGGCCCACACUGGCCUUGCUUUCAUGACUGAACCUCUAUUAAGAUUCAUGAGACAAGAAUGGCAGAUAAUAAACAUCAAAACUGUUCACUAAAGAUAUGAGACACUAACACACUACCAAACCCAGGGGAAAGGGUGACCAAGUGGAGAGAGGACUACCACCUCACAUCCACACAGAGCUCAGCUUGACUUCCACAGUGAGGGGUCCAGAACAUGAUGGUAGUGGGUGGGAGUGGGGAAUGGUCUAGAUCUCCUUUGAGGGCCAUCUUCCUCUCCAUUCAGCACUAUCAAGUAGCUCUGUCCUAGGCCCAAUAUUUGAAACUGAAAUUCUUCCUUUCUCAUUAGUUUAACUACUUCGCAUACACAGAUCUCUAGUCCUAGCCUCUCCCCUAGCUGCUAGCCGACAUCCAAAUGCAUAGCAUCACCAUGAUUUCCCUUAAGCACCUCAAGUUCUAGACAUACCAAACUAAACUUCUCAUCUUCUGCCCUCCUGCUCUAUCAGCCUCUCCUCCUUGUGCUCCCAAUUCUGAAUGAGGACAUGCUCUACCCAGUCACCAAAGGCAUUCUAGCUUUCCUCUGAUGUCCUCCCCUCUGCCUCUGAGACCUUUCCCAUUCAUUCCCUCCUCCUCAGUGUCACCACUGCUCUAGUUCAGACCCUAGCCUUUAGCUGAAAUACCACAACAGUGUCCCAAAAGGCCAUCCUAAUUGCAGCAUGUCCAAGUUCCAUUCAGCUGUCAGAUUUCAACCAUGCACAUCUGAACAUUGCCCCGGGCCUGGUGUUGACACUCCAUUCACAUGUGAGGUCCUCAGUGACCUUGCUCCAGCACUCCUCUAAUAUCAGCUCCCUGUUCCCAACCUCCCAUCAUACAACCCCACCCUGAAUCCAUGCUAUUCCACACAACAGUGCCUUUCCCUGGAAUUCCCUCCCUCUCCCUCACCUCAGGAUCCUUCCUCUCAGCUCACAUUACUAGACAAUAUCACUGUAUUACUGCAGUUACUGACAUCUGCUGACUUCUAUCCAGGGUUCAUCCCAUGACCCCUGCCCCGCAGAGAUAACGUGGGCCAGAAAAGGUAAACUGGGAGGGAGUUGACGGUGAUCCUAGUGGGGCUGGUUCUUGGGAAAGGAGGUUCUGAAGCAGGGGAAGGGGUUAAGAAGGGAUAUCACUCUGUGGGAGUAGCAAAUCUCUCCACUGGCUUCCUCACAUGUUAAUAAAAGUUCCAUUCUUCAAGGCGCUGUGGUGCCACCUCGGCAUUUAGGUGAU